rnacentral:rRNA from 1 species
GACGAACGCUGGCGGCGUGCUUAACACAUGCAAGUCGAACGGAAAGGCCCUGCUUUUGUGGGGUGCUCGAGUGGCGAACGGGUGAGUAACACGUGAGUAACCUGCCCUUGACUUUGGGAUAACUUCAGGAAACUGGGGCUAAUACCGGAUAUGAGCUCCUGCUGCAUGGUGGGGGUUGGAAAGUUUCGGCGGUUGUGGAUGGACUCGCGGCUUAUCAGCUUGUUGGUGGGGUAGUGGCUUACCAAGGCUUUGACGGGUAGCCGGCCUGAGAGGGUGACCGGCCACAUUGGGACUGGGAUACGGCCCAGACUCCUACGGGAGGAAGCAGGGGGAAAUAUUGCACAAUGGGCGGAAGCCGGAUGCAGCAACUCCGCGUGCGGGAUGACGGCCUUCGGGUUGUAAACCGCUUGAGCCUGUGACGAAGAGUGAGUGACGGUAAUGGGUAAAGAAGCACCGGCUAACUACGUG